AUACUACCUGGCAGGAGAGAUGCCAUGAUAUUGAAGGGAGUUUUCCCCAGACGAGGCUUAUUCAUAGCACUCUGGAUGUGGUGACUCCUGUGAUUUCUGCAAAUGGGGGAAACUUGACUGUGUAAUUUGUGUGUGUGAAACUUGACUGUGUAAUUUGUG
ensembl:snRNA LOC120094449 U1 spliceosomal RNA